AGCUUUAGAGAGAGAGAGAGUGAUCUAGAGAGAAAUGGAGAGGAGAAGAAGAAGAAAAGGCGUAGAAAACAUCAAGCUUUCGGUAAACAAUUUAAUAUUUACUUUUAAGCAUCUUAAUGAGCAUUUAUAGAAUGAAAAUUAAUGAGGUUUAAAUUGAUGAUUUGCAUGGUUGAAUUUUAUGCCUAAACUAAGUAAUUUUAUGUGAUAAUGCAUGCUUUAUAAUCCUAUAUGAACUUGUUAAUUUACAUGUGUAAAUUUAUAUGAUUUGAUGCUCGAAAUAAAUGUUGAUAUGUGAUGCUAUUAAUGGUAGAAAAAUGAUUAAGCAUGAAAUGAUAUAUAAACAUGAGAAAUAUACAUUUAUAUUGGCAUGUAUAUUCAUAAAGUGUUUCGUUAGACUUUUUAUCUCUGAUGAGAGUGGUAUUGCGAUAUGAUUGUAGGAGUCAUCGCUGGCGAAAUACGUCCAUAGCCAUAUUUAACAUGUAGGACCACUGUCGUUGACAUGGCUGUAGUCAUGGAUCAUAUCAUGGUGUGGCAAGCCGUAAAUGUGCUAUUAGUUUGGCAAGCCACAAAUUGUUGUUAUAAAUAAAAUGAAUUGGUCAUUCCACAUGGGUAGUCGAAAACCCGUAUUGCCCUCAGUAGAUGGAAGUCGGAACGACUUUACGAAGAAUAACACGAAAGACAAUGCACAUUUAUGAUUUGUUUGAUGUUCUCUAUUACUAGCAUGAUAUAUUUGACUGACAUAACCAUGACGUGAUGGAUUUGAUGUUUUCUUUAAUAAAUAAAUUAUUUUCAUAAUUUAAUGAAGGACCCUGACAUGACUCUUGAUUGUAAGUAAUGAUGACACAUUUAAUUACCUUUAAAAUCUUAUGAUAUUAUUUAAAUACUAUUUUUCUUACUGAAUAUAUGAAACCCACCUUUUUCAUGCCUCCCUCCAAAUGAGGAAGAUAGUGAGGAAUUGAUCGCUGACCUACUCCUUAAAGUCUUUGAGGAUCCUGUGGAUCCAUAAAUCUUGAUAAAUGCAUGACUUAUUCGGCACUCUGAUGAGUCUUUUUACAUAGUGAUAGAAGUGGCUCUUUUUGUAUUUUGAUAUUUUGUAUUUUGUUACCACUUCUGCCCUUAGUUAUAUAUAUAAUUGGGAACUCAUAUUUUUUAAGGAAUUUGUAAUAAAUUUCUCUGUUGCAUACAUUUAACUAUUAUGCACUUAUAAUCUGUGUCUGUAUCUAGCACCCUUAUCUCUUAAUCAACAUUUGGGAUGUCACACUAUGUGUCACGUUCCCAAUACCGAAUAGGGGCACCAACAUGAUUACGUUGUAG
rnacentral:lncRNA from 1 species